AAGACUGUACUUACAGAGAUCAUUUCUAUAGUAUGUGACUAGAGAAGUUUCUCUAAUCGUGUAGAGCACCCAAAGCCACCUGUAGCCAGAGUGUCCUCUCCUGAGUGUGAAGCCAGCUCUAGGUGUCGCUUCUGCGGCUGCCUCUUGCCAUUGAUGAUCCUUCUUCCCCUCCUUUGGAAGGGAUAGAGGGAGAGGAUGCAGUCUUC